rnacentral:rRNA from 1 species
GACGUGAGGGCGCGAGCGUUGUCCGGAUUUAUUAGGGCGUAAAGAGCUCGGUAGGCGGCUUGAUCGCGUCGUACCGUGAAAACCUGGGGCUCAACUCCAGGCUUGCGGAUCGAUACGGGCAGGCUAGAGUUCGGGUAGGGGAGGACUGGAAUUCCUGGUGUAGGAGGUGAAAUGCGCAGGAAUAUCAGGAGGAACAGCCGGUGGCGAAGGCGGCAUCCUGGACCAACACUGACGCUGAGUGAGCGAAAGCCAGGGGAGCAAACGGG